CGUGAAAUAAUCGGCAAUUAAACCUAUAUCAUGUAAAGCGUCUAGUCAAAAUUAUUCGAGUUAGAUUGUUUUAUAUUUGUGACGGGGCAAUCUAAACGUCAAAACUUUGAAGGACCAAAAUAAUGGAGGAUAAAUCACAGUACAAAGUCGUGUAAAGUUAUUGGUUUUAUCACUUUCGCAUAUUGGCGUGUACACACGAUAAAUGUUAAUCGUGUACAGUACAUACAUAGGUUUAAAUCACCAUAAAAUUCGUAAUUUUGGAUAUUAUUUGAUAAUUUUUACAUAAAUCAAUAAGGAAUUGAAUCCCCUUUCGAUACAUGGAACUGAAAGGUGGACUUGGGGAAAUGAAGUUGCAGUCUAUGGUCCUGUUUGCCCUGUGUUGUAGGACAAAAUCUGAAGAAGCUUCUUCUCUGCACAUCAACUGAAAUUAAGAAGAUGUUUGAGAACAUCAAAAAUGACAGUCAAAAUACAGCAAUGGAAAAUAAGACUGCUGGUUGUCCAAGAGUGAUAUUAACCCCAUCAUAAAUUACCUUCUUGAAAAACAAAAAAAAGACAGACUGAGAGGAAGGGUUUCAAUGAUGGCACAGACUCAAUUAUAGGUCUACCAGCUACCCCAACCAAAGAAGUUUCUGUAAAGAAAGGAGUACUUCCAACCCAGCUCUGUUUCGUUAUACUGUCCAUAUGGCAGAAGUGGUAUAAGGAAAUAAUAUAAUUGACAGCAACAACAACAAAAAAUUAUGAAUUUUUCCAUUGAUUGGUGGUGGAGGGGAUAAUAUUGUUGUCAGUUUGAGAAGUAGAAGAAAAAGUAAAUGACUCGGAUCAAAGACCUUUUCUGAACAGAUUGAGAAAACAGAAGUCUACAAAACAGAUCAAAGAUGAUAAAAAGGACGAUGUUUAUGCUCUGGAAAGAAAAAGAUGCUGUUGGAAAUAGAGGACAUUAAGUAAAAGAAAAGCAAAGACCAACAGCUAUUUCUGUUAGAAAAAUAUAAAAAAAAAAAACAAUAAAUUAAAGUGAUCAGUUUUCCCAUUUGAAAACGAGGGUAUAAUAAUGUAUCUACAUUUGUGUGCGCAUUUUAGUGUUGUGAUCAAAUAUCUAUUUCCCCUGAAAAGAAUGUAAUAUAAAUUUGUACAAUAGUGUAAUUGUCCCCGGGAUGGAUCAUGAUGUAUAUUAUAAAUAUUCAGGGUGUCAUGUGCAGAACCCAGACCCUUAUCUCAAAGGUCAAGGUAGCAAUGUUUGGUAACGUUUUUGUAAUAAGCUGGUAUAGAUCUAGUAACUGUUACUGGGAAUAAUUUGAAUUUCACACAUAUGUUGAUUGUGAUGACAUGACAGACACUGUGUAAGUUCCAUAACUCUGUUUUGAUAUUAUGGCUCUUUUUUACUCGGGAUUUUUUUUUUGAAAAUAUUGUUUGGAUCUACUUUAAUUUAAUACUAUCAGAGAUUUGUACAUUUGUUUCUCAUUAUGCGAGUAAAUAGACCAAGAAUCAUUACUCAGACAUGCAUUUUGUUAGUAUGAGGUGGAUGAAUUUUGUUAUGACCCUUUGUGGUCUUUAUGUAUUUUUUUUGUUAAAUUUUUAGUUUAGAUUCACUUUUCAAAUAAUAAAAAUGUUACAGCUUUUAAACUUUAUACACAGUAACACUUGUCUUAAUUAUAAUUAGAUCAGUAAGUAGUAAGAACCAUAGCUCUCUCUCUUUCUUGCAUCUUUUAAACAGUGUACACUUUUCUCAGUUAUCAUUAAAUUAGUAAGGAGUAAGAACCAUAGCUUUCUUUGCAGCUUUUAAACUAAGUACACUUUUCUUAAUUAUCAAUAUUGUCACCAAACUUGGUGUAUAGCAAGCUUAUAUAAAUACUUUACUAGUGGUUGUACUUAAGGCUGAAAAUGUGGUUUUAUGCCAGUGUUCUGUUCAGAAAUUGCAUAAAUGAAGCAGACAUUGUCUGAAAGUGAUCUCUAGAUUAAGUUUUAAAAUGAUCUCUUUUGCUUAUAACGAAAUUUACUAGUUUAUCAAUUCUAUACAUUUAUAUAUAAUUCUUUUAACUCAUUAUGUUAAAAUACAUAUAAUAACAUUCUUAUAUAUUUUGAAAUUGAAAAAAAAAAUUGAUAAAUAUUCUGUUCCUGUACAUCUAUAAUUAUGAAGAAAAAUGUGAUAAAAUUUCAAACAAGUCAUGUGAGUUGUCAAUAAAAUUUUAACAGAUA